rnacentral:ncRNA from 1 species
GAAGGUGGGCCCUUCGGUAUCGGAAUACAGGUUCCGGUACCAAACCACCGCCAAGCUGCUUGGAUUAAAUGUCCCGGUGGUGAGCGUUGUCGGAAAAGGCAUCCGGAGGUGUCAGGU